GCCUUCGUGGUGUAGUUGUCAGUACGCUCGUCGCGUAUUCGAGAGAUCCGUGGUUCGAGUCCCGGUGAGGGCA
rnacentral:tRNA from 1 species